CGCGGCCUAUCAGCUUGUUGGUGGGGUAACGGCUCACCAAGGCAUCGACGGGUAGCUGGUCUGAGAGGACGAUCAGCCACACUGGGACUGAGACACGGCCCAGACUCCUGCGGGAGGCAGCAGUGGGAAUCUUGCGCAAUGGGCGAAAGCCUGACGCAGCAACGCCGCGUGGGGGAUGAAGGCUCUCGGGUUGUAAACCCCUUUCAUCAGGGACGAAAUUGACGGUACCUGAAGAAGAAGCCCCGGCCAACUACGUGCCAGCAGCCGCGGUGACACGUAGGGGGCGAGCGUUGUCCGGAAUUAUUGGGCGUAAAGAGCUCGUAGGCGGUUUAGUAAGUCAGAUGUGAAAGGUUGGGGCUCAACCCUAAGACUGCAUCCGAUACUGCUAUGACUAGAGUCCGGUAGAGGAGUGUGGAAUUCCUGGUGUAGCGGUGAAAUGCGCAGAUAUCAGGAGGAACACCGACGGCGAAGGCAGCACUCUGGGCCGGUACUGACGCUCAGGAGCGAAAGCGUGGGUAGCAAACAGGAUUAGAUACCCUGGUAGUCCACGCCGUAAACGUUGGGCACUAGGUGUGGGACCUUAUCAACGGGUUCUGUGCCGUAGCUAACGCAUUAAGUGCCCCGCCUGGGGAGUACGG
rnacentral:rRNA from 1 species